AUCUUUUACUACCAGAGCAAUGUGCGUCCACUAGCCGGGGCACAGGAGAAGGAUGUUGCCGAGGGUUGAGGCUUUCAUCAAACUGGCGGAACGAUUUUUGACGCGGCAACCGAAGCAAAUCGGGCGCCAACGCCUACACACACACACACACACACCAACAUCCUCGGUUACGUACGGAAACAGGUGUGGAUGCCUGUUUUCCCUCACUGCAGAUAACGCUCUGCGCUGUGGUGACACACGCACGUGUUUUUCCGUGUGUUUGUGUGUGUGUGUGCCUUUUUGGGUAAGCGGGAUGUGGUGAUAAUUUUAUUGUCUUUCAUGCCUUCGUGAUGAUUUAUGUUUUUUGCCCUCGCCUUUUUUCUGCUUCGUGUGGUCUAGAGGGUGGGUGAGAGGGAAGGAGGGGGAGAGUGUUGCGAAGGGGGGCACACACAAUACAACAGGAUGCUGCCUGCACGCAUAUACGCGAGAAAUACGCGAAACGCUUGUGUACGAGAUGCGUAUGUGUUGCUCCCCAGCAGGCUAAUGACAGUACCGGUGACAGUAAACAUUUCUCCUGUCAAACGCGGAGAUGUUUUGCAAGCGAAGGUUCCUGUGAUGGUCGCUUGUAACCUCCGUUAUCAGCAUCAUCCGCAUGGCAUCAUCGUAAAGGUUACAAACGCACACCUCUUAUCACCAUCGAGUGCGUGUGUGUGUCUGUGUCGGUCCGAUCUUUCUAUUGCUUGUUAUCGGGCUUGUAAUAUCUGGUCGUAUCUGCCAUAAACGACACUCGGGCGGCAGCGAUCGAUCAACAUCGACGGGAAUCGCUGCCAGCCGCUGUAAUUGAUCAAUCAAACGAUGCCCAGGGGUCCGCCCGUGCUUUUUUCCCCUUGAUGGAGGCGCCCAGCCAGCACUGCGAUCCGGCGGUGUAAACGUGCGCAACAGGUCAGUACCGAGCAUGCGAGCACACACACACACACGCACCCAGCAAAAGGGGAAAACGGCGGCUUUUCCUGCAGCCCCUCCCAGAUGAAUUAUCAAACCUUUGCCCCACUCGUCCUAAAAACCCGGGGCAGAAGGUUUACAAAUUUGCUGACGCAAAAUGGUCCGGCAGCUCAGCUCGCCGUGACGGUGGGAAAGGUUGGCGUGAUAACCUUAUUUUAGAUUCCAGGGUAAGCCACGCUCAAUGACAUACAUAUACAAGCGCAGCGCUGCAUCCGUAUACCGACACACACACACACACGCUUGUAUACUGGGGUGUUCUCUUCUCAUAGCGUUUUCCAUUCCCUUCUGCUCUAAGCUGCUGCUGUGUGGCAGGAGUCGGCAAAAACAACACACCACUAAAAAAAACCCACAAAAUGAGAUUCCGCAUCUCGGCCGAAAUGUUGACCAAAGCCAGGCUUAUCCUUCGUGCAGGGGUUUUUCUCUCGAAGGUACGAAUCAGCGAGUGAGCGAGCCUCCCGUUCCGGUCGGGGAGUGUGCGGGAUUCGAUGUAAACAAUUCUCACGCGCGGUUCCGGCCACCUUCCAAUACACAUGCACCAAUGCAAAUGAGCAGCAAUGCAUUCGAUGGGGGGAGCAUGGAUUUUUUUUGUUACUAAUGGGAAUGUUAAGUAAUGGACGGUUUUAUUUGGAUGAAUUUAGAAUAACUGAAGCUAAAAAAAAAAAUUACUGCUGGUAAUUUAAAUUUUCUGUCAUCCUGAACAAGUCUUGGAUAAGAAUUGUUUAUGCGAGGAUAUCUUAGUGUAAUGGGAUUCUAUUCGAACCUUGAAGGAGGCACUAGAUCUCGUAUCGCGCCAAGAGAUCAGACUAUUGAGGAAAUCAAUUCAAGACAGCCAGAAAUGGCAGACCAAGACCUCUCGGAGUUGUAGAGCUAAAGAAGAAGAUUUAGAGUAUUGUACAUGACUCUAUGUACCUAAAUGAUAAGCUUAUCAAAACUUUGAGUGAAAUCGAUGCAAAUUUUUUUUAUUUACAAAGGGUUAUCUUGACACUUACAGACUACAUAACUAAUAUUAUCACUAAUAUUAGCUUAGCAUCUACAAACCUGAAGACCGGUAACAUGCUAAGAAAUAUAAAAAAAUAUAAAUAAUAAGACAAACU